GCCGGGCCGGGCCUUAGUGAAAAAGUUUCGUGUUCGGCCGGGCCGGGCCUCUCAAAAAAGAGUUUGUUUUCGUGCGGGCCCGGGCCUUGAAAUACAGGCCCGCGCCCACCUCUAGUACUGUGUCAAAACGUAAAUGUGUAAAUCAAUCGGUCGACAAUGAAACGAGCUAACCGUAAAAAAACGCGCUCGUAAAAAAGGCAACAACAGAUUCUAAAAGACUUUUAAAUGCCACACAAACCGAAACCAAAAACAAAAAUGAAACGAAAAGAGACAGCAAUCAAGUGUAAUAGAGAGAGAGAGAGAUAGUAAGCAAGAGUCGUGGUAGACAGAAUGGGAAACAAGCCGCACACACUUCCGCUUUCAUUUCAUAAAUUCGGAUUAAGGCAUUUUCAAAUGAUAACAAUGAAAGAACGUAAAAUAAAGAAUGCAGUGUGGAAAUGCGCCGUGAAUCUGAUUAACGGCAAACUACAGCAAAGACAACAACAGAAGCAGCAGCAACAACAACAAUGAAGAUGACAACGAGUCGGAAAUGUGUCACGUAAAUGGUUUGUUUCCCAAGUAAAACCCACAACAUGCCCAAAGAACAAUCAUAAAGACAACGACAACAACAAAAGUAAAGCUCAACAUUUCUGCUGCUGUAGAGAUCUGAAAUGAAAUAACUGAGGCUCCCAUUGUAUAGCAAUUGAGACGUUCGCAGAUACCGUUAGAAUGGAUUUCCUUUCAACGGCAGCUAUUGAUGGAUUUACAAUCUAUCCAUACAAGAAGCAUCACGUUUUGCCAACACUUGCUCAAAAUUUGAGCCAAACGAUGCAAAGAUGAACAAUUGCACAUCCUGCAUAAAUGCAUCCUGUAUUGUUUACAGCACAUGCGCUUAAGCCCAGGACAUGAGGACAUGAGGACAGCAGGUCGUGCUAUGGUCGGGAAUCGGGGGUCGGGGUCACAUCAUCUGUUGCUGCAUAGCAGAAUUUUACGAAUGAUGAGCGGAAACGCAUCGAAGGCGCGUAGUUUGUACACAAACAGAGAAUCAAAUAACACACACAGAUAACGAGAGAAGACUGCGUGUGAGAGAGAGAGGGACAGAGAUGAUUGUAAUGAGCAUCGAUGUUGGCAGCAAACAACAAAGAGAAGGAAAAGGAUGUCCUGGCAGACUGGUUGGCUGGCGAGUGACAGGACAUGUGGCAAAGCAAAGGCAAUUAAAUGCUCAUCCUACGCACUGCGUCCACAACAGUGUGAAAUACAGUGCAGGAAGCUGACGUCGCGCCCCAUUGUGUGAUCACGUCCUCACAAGAAGAGAGGGAAAACCCACUACCUGGGGUACGAGCUCAAAUAUUGCCGGUGAUUAGUGACUUUGCGCCUGGUUCCUGGUUGGUCAGAGGGAUAAAUAGGAAGCAGACCCUGUGGCGUUAAUUGUUUUGCUCAGCUCGUUUGAUUCGUGCCGCUGCAAAGUUAAUCUGGGUCAACGGAAG